UACAGAGGUGGCAAGCGUUGUUCGGAAUUACUGGGCGUAAAGGGCGCGUAGGCGGCCUACUAAGUCAGACGUGAAAUCCCCCGGCUUAACUGGGGAACUGCGUCCGAUACUGGAUGGCUUGGAUUUGGGAGAGGGAUGCGGAAUUCCAGGUGUAGCGGUGAAAUGCGUAGAUAUCUGGAGGAACACCGGUGGCGGAGGCGGCAUCCUGGACCAAUAUUGACGCUGAGGAGCGAAAGCCAGGGGAGCAAACGGG
rnacentral:rRNA from 1 species